rnacentral:lncRNA from 1 species
GUCAAGAUGGCCGAAUACGAACAGCUCAGGUCUACAGCUCCCAGCGUGAGCGACGCAGAAGACGGGUGAUUUCUGCAUUUCCAUCUGAGCUGCUGCAGAUGCUGUUUGAAGAAGCUCUGCCCCUCAGCUGCUCUGAUCCUGUGCUUAGCACUCUUAGCCUGGUGCAGGGCCUGCUGUCUGCUCACUCUCACCAUGUCCUGCCCAGGGCCUGACCCUCCUGAGGGGCCCGGGACCCAGCGUGUGUGGCAAGGGGCUCUACGGAUCCUACAGCUCCCAGGAGCCCCAGAUGGGGUUUCACCAUAUCAGCCAGGCUGGUCUCGAACUCCUGACCUCAAGUGAUUCGCCAGCCUCGUCCUCCCAAAGUGCUGGGAUUACAGGUGUGAGCCACCAUGCCCAUGGAGAAUGUAUUACUUUUGUAAUUUAAAAAAUAAUAGUAAUAAAAUAAAGAUCUGUA